UACGUAGGGUGCGAGCGUUGUCCGGAAUUACUGGGCGUAAAGAGCUCGUAGGUGGUUUGUCGCGUUGUCCGUGAAAACUCACAGCUCAACUGUGGGCGUGCGGGCGAUACGGGCAGACUGGAGUACUGCAGGGGAGACUGGAAGUUCCUGGUGUAGCGGUGGAAUGCGCAGAUAUCAGGAGGAACACCGGUGGCGAAGGCGGGUCUCUGGGCAGUAACUGACGCUGAGGAGCGAAAGCGUGGGGAGCGAACAGG
rnacentral:rRNA from 1 species